UAGUCUCUGACUGGUUGUGUCUUGGUGACCUGAUAGUCGCCUUAGUUGCCAGGGUGAGGGCCUGGUCUUCCUGCUUUUGCCUCCUAUCAUGGCGUUAUUUGCUCUUCCUACAUUCCGUUUGGUCUUCCUACACUACUUCCAUGAAAUUAUGAGAAAAGUAAGCAGUCAGAAACAGUUCUUCCUUGUGAUACAUCAGCAUUGAUCAAGAAACUGAGUGAAGAAUUGGAAGAAAGGGGUCAUUAUCACAGCUGUGUGUCCUGACUGCAAACUGGUACUACUGUACAGGAUGAAAAUGAAUGAUUUAGGAGAUGUCAUGUCCUGGUUAACAUUACUUGGAUACUUGACAAUAUAUGACUCUUCUACUCACAAGAAGGAACUUCUCUAAUAUAAAAGAAACUUCAAUUGUAAAUUUAAUGGGGGGAUGGUGGAAAAUAUCCAAGUGUGCCAAGAGACUCCUUCAUCUUCUUCCACAAGAGAAAAUAAAGCCAUAAUAUCUCCUUAAGUUAGAGGACAGCAAUGCCCAGCAGGAUUUACAAGACACAUUCACA